GUUCAUCCCUUGCUUUGUUUUUCUCCUGUAACUUCAAUAUACUAAACCUUCUGUACCAAGGCAUUUGCUGGUCUGUUGUGUGAACUUUAUCACAUCUCAUCAUAUCGAGGAAAAAGUUUCUUUGGAAGUUAAAGAAAAUUAAAGCUUUUUAUUUAUCCAAAAUUAUAUAAUUGUCAAAAGUCAAAAUGAAAGCAUUCAGAGGCAGAAGUUAACCAGGAAGCAUAUAACCAUAAACAUUACUUGUAAGCAGUAACCUAAUAUGUUAAAAAUUCAUGGCAAUGCAGGAUCAUCCCAAAGCUU
rnacentral:misc_RNA from 1 species